rnacentral:rRNA from 1 species
GCCAGCGGCGAUAGCACGUUGAAUAUGCUAAUUCCCGAUGGAUCACUGAAGUUAAGCAACGUUCCGCGUGGUUGGUAUCCGGAUGGGUGACUAUCCGGAUGGGUGUGAUGCUGGCU